rnacentral:miRNA from 15 species
GCGUCAAAUUGACUGUGAGCUAUG